CGUAAAAAACAACAUUUUAGAUUUAAAUCGACAGAAAAAACUCUGUGUGAAAAUUUUUUUUCUAAGAAGAAAUGCUGGCGAAGUCUCUUUCAUUCUGAAAUAUGCAAUAAACUUAAAUAGUGCCAAUAAAAACUCAUACAAAAUUAAUAGCGAGCAAAAUGUUUGCGAACUACGCAGUUUCUCAACCCAACCAGCUACCCGCCACGACCUGGCGGUGGAGCCAAAUCAGACUCAAAGCUUUUCUAAAGCAAAAUUUUGUAGGUAGAGUGAAAAAAGCGGCGACGGCUGACGACGACGACGACGUUGACCGCGAACAUGGCGAUGAACGGCGCUUGUCAGUGAUCUGUACAUAUUAGAGCGCAGCUCAACUCAACUCUCAACAAAGAAAAGUCCGACUUCAGGCGAUGACAAAAGCCUUGCAUUACAUUACUUAGUACUAGCUAUUUUGCGCUGCUAAUAGCUGGCUUUUACACCGGCGUUCGUGUGACGAGUUGACGUGUAGUUGAGAUUGAGCGUGGCGGAAGGGGAUGCGUGUGGAUAGGGGAGCUGGGCGUUAUGCGGGCGCACGAGUACUCCCCUAAAUUAUCUACCACAGUGUGUGUAGGGCGAAUCGCCUUCGUUUGUAUUCGACUGAGUUCGGACAUUCGGCAUUUGACGAAGUGCCACCAGCCACUAACCACCGAAAACAAACCAAGGCGAUCGGAAUUUGACAAACAAAGAAAAAAAAACGAAAAACAAACGGAACGAGUAAUGUCGCCAAUGUGACAGUUGUUGUUAUUAUUAUUCUUGUUGUUGCUGUUGUUGUUGUUGUUGUUGAUUGAUAUUCGUUGACGGCAGCGUCGACGACUUUAUAGCGCCACUUGAACAAUUAAUUUAGGACAAAUGCAACAACAACAACAACAACAAAAACAGUAACAAACGAGCAACAGUAAAAAGUAUUUUAUAACAACAAAAACAACAGCAACAACAAUAACAACACAUCAGUAACAGUAAUAAAAGAGGCUAAGACAAUACAGUGAAAGAGUGAACUUUGAAAUAAAUUUAAAAAUCAUUUAGGCCCGACAUACAUACAUAUACGUGUACGUAUAAUAUACAUAUUGUACAAACAUUCAUCCAGCCAUCCACUCAUAGACCUACAUAUACAGAAGAUCUUUGGCUAUGCGGAUACAUAUGCUGGCAAUCGAAAAUGGUGAUAUUUUGUAUUUUACAGCAGCAAGAUGGCGCUGCCCGAAUGUGUUAAUCAGAUAACUUUUACAGAAUCCAGAUAGUAAAGCACCAUUUUUCUACUAAUUUCAUAUAUGUAUAAAUUAAUUAAAUAUGAAAUCGACGCGCAGUCCGCCUACAAAGGAUGAAGGCGAAUACAACUUUUUGCCCCUCAGACUGACAGCAAAUAAAAAAUAGUAAAGAGACCGCUUGCAUUGGUUCUAGUUGUUUUAAGACUACAUAGGAACUAGUUCGAAAAAAAACUAUUUUCAAAGUAUAUGCACUCAAUACUGACUAGUUACAUAGUACGCUUCAUUGGGACUACUUUCACUUUAAGUAGCUACAUUUGCAACUAGUUGCUAUCUAGUUUAAUUCAAACAAUGAGUUUUCAACAAACUCAUCCUACUGCACUCAGCUUAAAAGCGAGAAGAAGCCCAAACCGCCAACACCUACAACAACUACAUACAAACAAUGAAAAGAAAUGAAGCAAUCAACAGCAACAAAUGUAAAAAUUAUAUAUGUAUGUACAUAUGUAUAUUCAAGCAAAACAAAAAUGAGAAGAGGCGGAAGAAGUCGCAGUGGAGGCGUCAGAGGCACCGACAUUUACAGCAGCAGCGGAACAUUGUAGCGCCAUCACCGCUCUUCAAAUGAAAUGGAAAUUGAAAAGCUCAACUAAAGCAAAAGUAACAGCAACAGCAACAGCAACGGCAAAAGCAACAGUAAUAGCAACGACGAAAACACUUCCGUCAUCGCCGCGGCUGUUAGCACAAGCGUAUAAAAUAAAACUAAAACAGACUUUGCACCAUUUUUCAAUGGCACGAGCGCCGAGAACAUUGAACUAUUUUCCACUUUUUAUAUACAUACAUACAUACAUAUGUAUAUGUAUAUGUAUAUACAAAUGUAUGCAUAUAUUUAUGUACAUACAUUCACAUUAGUCUAAAAAAACAUAUAUUUUUUUAUGGAAAGUGUUGGCGCUGCUAUAUUGAAGCGAUCGUUGGGACACUGAUACACUACACCCAAAAAGUCACAGACACAGUUAUUAUUUGUAUUGAAAAAACAAAAACAAAAAUGAAAAACAGAAAGAAAAAACAUAAUCGUCAGUGGCUGUACUAAGUAAAUGAGCAGCAACAACGGACGGUGAAAUGUAUUAGUCGACAAUCAGAAAGAAACCAAAAAAAUAAAAAAAAAAACUGUAGAGAACAGAAGAAACAUUUUGAAAAUUAUGAAAAGAAAAAACAUUGUCGUUGUUUUUGUAAAAGAAUUCAUGUGGACUGGGACUGAAUGGAGAAAGCCCUGGCAAAACGCUACAACAACAACAACAAGCUAAAUUCUAGCAGUGCGUGCAUGCUUAUCUGUUAGCUCUGAUCGACAAAACAAAUAUCGGUAUACUCAAAAAAAAAAAAAAAAAAAACGUGAUGGCACCGUUUUCUUGGACUUCGACUCGUCCCAUACCAACAGAGCAACACCACAGCCACCAUAAGUCAAAACGUCGAAAGAAACAACACAGCACCAAUAAUCACUAAUGACGACCAAAUAUGAAACCAUGAAUGAAGCAAUGAACGAAUGAAUGAAAAAACAGCAGCAACAACAAAUUAAGGAAAAAACUGUAAAAAGUGAAAAAAUCCAAAAUGAAAACAAACAUUGAAUAUUAUGCUCUGCUGAUAAGCUGGAAAUGCCCACACGCUGUUUCAUCACCUAUCAGCUUGCCUUCCUACUAGCCGGCCACCGACGCUACCGCCGCCACCAACGCCGAAAGCGUCAGCGUCACCUCAGUGCAGUUUGGGUCAAUAUACGCGUCCAACAUUUCACCGCUGCGCAGCGCUGCGUCUGCUUUCAUGCUGUUCCAUUUGUUCCAACUUGCUGGGAGUAUCCACCUUUGUUCUAGUCGUUUCCAGGGAAAAGGUCACUCAGAAAUAUUUAAUUAAGGAGAGAAAAGAAUUUCUAAGGAACACCAGCUUCUCAAGGUAUUUUGCGCUCAUUGUUUUUUUUUAACUAUAAAUAUACGUAGAGUACGCAUGUAAUACUCCUAGAAAUAGCUACAUUUUGAUUCUUUUUAGAAAUUUCUUUGAAAAAUAACGCCCUUCACUAUCGAUAUCUACCGAUUGAAGUAUUUGAAUGAUACUUCAAUGCACUUUUUGUAUAUUAUUUGGCCUUAAUUGUAUCAAUUAUUAUUUAAUAUUAUUUUAUUUAAUGAAAUUUCGCUUUUUUAUUUUACAUUGUUUUAUUUUGUUUAAUUCCUACUAGUUUUGUACAUUCUGCACAAAGUUGUUGGGAGAAUAUUUCAGCUUAUUUACAUUUCGUAUAUUAUCUAUAAGGAUUAAGCAAAUAGUUGUGAAAGUAAUUACAAAUAUAGGCAAUGCAAAGUGCACACUGUCAUCAUCUUUUGUGCUGUUAUUGCCGUCAUCAGCGCCAAUCAUCGUCACGAGCACAAUAGCAAACACAUAAACAAUCAGCAAUUGCAUUGUGUGCAUUGACGACGUCACCGCUGGCAUUGCUAUCAUCAUCGGCAACAACACCAACGUCAUCGGCAAUUCACAAUUCGCAUCCGCUACAUUUACCAACACACACACACACACACACACUCACACAUACACUUGUAGGUUUUUGUAUAGAUGUAUGUUUGAGAUAUUUGCACUGUGCACUGUGCGCUUGGUUGCAUCUGAUUUUACGCCGCUUCGUUUUUGUUGCCGCUAUUGUUGUGCGAUUUGCUGUUAGAUAAAAUUCUCAGACCUUGUUUGGUUAUUGUGCACGAUUAUUCGCUGCAUUAAGUGCCAUUUUUCCAUUGCUGUUAGCUGGUUAUUGCUGUUGUUCUAAGUGGUUGUAAUUAUUUGUAUGUAGAGACUGUGAUAGGGUUGAUUAUAUGAAACGGAACUCAAAUAUUAUAUGGCGAUGAUUUUUCUUCAUAGUGUCUUCAUAAAAAAUCCGUAAUAAUUUCACUAAAUAUUAAAAGGAACUACAAAUAGGUUACGUAUACGCAGUGUGGUCCAAAAAAAUAUAUUUGAUAUUCGCUGUUUGUUUCGGUACAAACCCAAUAUACAUAUUGUCACUUUAAAUUCAGUAUGCUGAUUAAUAUAAAUGGUUAAUAAAACAAAAACGUAAUUAUAAUAGUAAAUAUUUCGAUUCAUUUGUAGUAGGUUAUUGAAUUUUCAUACAUAUAUAUAUGUAUGUAUAAAUAUUUAUAUGCACUUGAUAGCAGGUUUAUGUAUUUCUACGUGCUUUUGUUCACAACAGAGCUGUCAUGCAUAAAAUUGCAGAUGGCAUAAUUGCCUUAAUAACUUCUUCAACUAAUUCCGCCUGAGUUGAGCAUAUACAUAUGUAUAUGUUAUGAGGGUAUGUUUCCAUGCAACAUGAGCGACCGCUCUUGGCUCUGUACUUUGAGCUGUGUGCCUUCAUCGUUAAGAGUAUUUUUAGUUAAAAAGGUUAGUAACGUUAGGGGAGUUUAAAAAAUACUAACGGUUUAUUUUCAAUCAUUAAUGGUAUUUAAAAAAAUCUCCAUUAUAUACAUAUAUGUAUCAAAGUGUCGAUAAUCAUGUGAAUAUGGUUGAUUGUAUUUAAAAAGUCUUUCAUUCAUUAAAAUGCUUAACUAUUCUUUAAUCUAAUGAAGUUGAGCGAGUCAUUAGUGAUUUUUAGACACUUUUCAUACAGUUUCACUUACAACUUGCAAACAUACAUAUACAAGUAUGUACGUCCAAAUAUACAGUUCGAGUUCAGUUCAAUAUACCUACCUAUUUACCUAUUUUUUUCUUUUUGAUUAAUUGAAUU